rnacentral:rRNA from 1 species
GAUGAACGCUGGCGGCGUGCUUAACACAUGCAAGUCGAACGAUAAAGCCCAGCUUGCUGGGUGGAUUAGUGGCGAACGGGUGAGUAACACGUGAGUAACCUGCCCUUAACUCUGGGAUAAGCCUGGGAAACUGGGUCUAAUACAGGAUAGGAGCGUCCACCGCAUGGUGGGUGUUGGAAAGAUUUAUCGGUUUUGGAUGGACUCGCGGCCUAUCAGCUUGUUGGUGAGGUAAUGGCUCACCAGGGCGACGACGGGUAGCCGGCCUGAGAGGGUGACCGGCCACACUGGGACUGAGACACGGCCCAGACUCCUACGGGAGGCAGCAGUGGGGAAUAUUGCACAACGGGCGCAAGCCUGAUGCAGCGACGCCGCGUGAGGGAUGACGGCCUUCGGGUUGUAAACCUCUUUCAGUAGGGAAGAAGCGAAAGUGACGGUACCUGCAGAAGAAGCACCGGCUAACUACGUG